rnacentral:rRNA from 1 species
CCUACGGGAGGCAGCAGUGGGGAAUAUUGCACAAUGGGGGAAACUCUGAUGCAGCGACGCCGCGUGAGUGAAGAAGUAUCUCGGUAUGUAAAGCUCUAUUUGCAGGGAAGAAAACGACGGUACCUGUAUAAGAAGCCCCGGCUAACUACGUGCCAGCAGCCGCGGUAAUACGUAGGGGGCAAGCGUUAUCCGGAUUUACUGGGUGUAAAGGGAGCGUAGACGGCAGAACAAGUCUGGAGUGAAAUGCCGGGGCUUAACCCCGGAACUGCUUUGGAAACUGUGCAGCUAGAGUGCAGGCGAGGUAAGUGGAAUUCCUAGUGUAGCGGUGAAAUGCGUAGAUAUUAGGAGGAACACCAGUGGCGAAGGCAGCUUACUAGACUGUAACUGACGUUGAGGCUCGAAAGCGUGGGGAGCAAACAGGAUUAGAUACCCGAGUAGUC